UACGUAGGGGGCAAGCGUUGUCCGGAAUUAUUGGGCGUAAAGAGCGCGUAGGCGGUCCGGUAAGUCGGUUGUGAAAGUCGGGGGCUCAACCCUCGGAUGCCGAUCGAUACUGUCGGGCUAGAGUCCGGAAGAGGCGAGUGGAAUUCCCGGUGUAGCGGUGAAAUGCGCAGAUAUCGGGAGGAACACCUAUGGCGAAGGCAGCUCGCUGGGACGUUACUGACGCUGAGACGCGAAAGCGUGGGGAGCAAACAGG
rnacentral:rRNA from 1 species